rnacentral:rRNA from 1 species
UACGUAGGUCGCAAGCGUUGUCCGGAUUUACUGGGCGUAAAGAGCGCGCAGGCGGCUGGUCAAGUCCGAUGUGAAAUCUCCCGGCUCAACUGGGAAACUGCAUCGGAAACUGAUCGGCUUGAAGAUGGGAGAGGGUAGUGGAAUUCCCGGUGUAGUGGUGAAAUGCGUAGAUAUCGGGAGGAACACCAGUGGCGAAGGCGACUUCCUGGCCCAUUCUUGACGCUGAGGCGCGAAAGCUAGGGGAGCGAACGGG